rnacentral:rRNA from 1 species
AAGCAGGGGAUCGUAAGACCUUGCGCUUUUGGAGUGGCCGAUGCCUGAUUAGCUAGUUGGUGGGGUAAGGGCCUACCAAGGCAACGAUCAGUAGUUGGUCUGAGAGGACGACCAGCCACACUGGGACUGAGACACGGCCCAGACUCCUACGGGAGGCAGCAGUGGGGAAUUUUGGACAAUGGGCGAAAGCCUGAUCCAGCAAUGCCGCGUGAGUGAAGAAGGCCUUCGGGUUGUAAAGCUCUUUCAGUCGGGAAGAAAAGGUUGCGACUAAUAAUCGCAAUUUAUGACGGUACCGACAGAAGAAGCACCGGCUAACUACGUGCCAGCAGCCGCGGUAAUACGUAGGGUGCGAGCGUUAAUCGGAAUUACUGGGCGUAAAGGGUGCGCAGGCGGCUCUGUAAGUCAGAUGUGAAAUCCCCGGGCUUAACCUGGGAAUUGCGUUUGAAACUACAAGACUAGAGU